GCUGGCAGUGCCCUUAGAAUCCUCUUAUUUAAACUUUUAUUUUGGCCGGGGAUUUAGCUCAAUGGUGCUGCCUCGUGCCUCACAAGCAAAAGUCCUGAGUUCAAUCCCCAGUACCAAAAAAAAAAAAAAGAAACAAAAACUUUGGUUUUGCAGAAGAGAACCCUGAGGGCCAAAGAAGGAAAGUGUCUGCCCAGAGUUAUGCACUUGGGUUGACCAGCAGAAAUCUGGAGGGCCCUGACCCUAAAACUCUAGGUCUGUGGGUAUCUGUGCCCCUGGACCUGGACAACUUCUCAGAAUCAUCUUCAUUUCUGGCCUCUACAAUAGGAGGAUGGGCUGGGGGAUGGGAAUACCAGAGACUAGGAAUGGUUGCUAUGGAGUUUGUUCUGACCAACAGUGUGGGCUGGACUGAAUUUUCCAGAUGUCACUUACAUGGCAUCUUGGUGAAUUCCUGAGUACAAUGUCCAGAACUGCCGUGGGGCUCAGCCAAGCAUGAGGCCUGGAGUGGGAGGUGGGGUCUGUUCUCCCCAUAGCUGUUGGUCUCACCAAGGGUCAGGGAUCUAAUGAUGAGGCACCUGGGAGCACUCACAAACAGCAGUGGGGAGGAG
rnacentral:lncRNA from 1 species